rnacentral:rRNA from 1 species
AGAGUUUGAUCCUGGCUCAGGACGAACGCUGGCGGCGUGCCUAAUACAUGCGAGUCGAGCGGACCUUUCGGGGUCAGCGGCGGACGGGUGAGUAACACGUGGGCAAUCUGCCCGAUACUCUGGGAUAACGCUUGGAAACGAGUGCUAAUACCGGAUGGUCUUCUUGGUCGCAUGGCCGAGAAGGAAAAGACGCGUUCGCGUCGGUGUCGGAUGAGCCCGCGGCGCAUUAGCUAGUUGGUGAGGUAAUGGCCCACCAAGGCGACGAUGCGUAGCCGACCUGAGAGGGUGACCGGCCACACUGGGACUGAGACACGGCCCAGACUCCUACGGGGGGCAGCAGUAGGGAAUCUUCCACAAUGGGCGAAAGCCUGAUGGAGCAACGCCGCGUGAGUGAUGAAGGCCUUCGGGUUGUAAAACUCUGUCAUUCGGGACGAACCGGAGUCUGAGGAAAUGCAGACUCUCUUACGGUACCGGAGGAAGAAGCCCCGGCUAACUACUUGCCAUCAGCCGCGGUAAUA